AAGUAAAAGUCGUAACAAGGUAUCCGUAGGUGAACCUGCGGAUGGAUCAUUAACGUGUAAACAAGAAUAGUGAUACGAAAGGUCGACUGUUCUUAAUUAAACUCUGUUAUAACCCUUGUUGGUUCUAUUAGGAAAACUAGAUGUGAUGGGUGGUGGUUGAGGGCUGGUAAAAAAGGCUAUAGAACGCCACGAUCCUCUUCUUAAACUAAAAAACAUAAUUCAUUACCAUAAUUUAAUUCUAAAAGUAAACCUUGGUUGGAAAUUUGGGAAUAGAACUCCGUUCUGGAACGAAUCCACCAGUUAAAAAACAUUUA
rnacentral:misc_RNA from 1 species